GACGAACGCUGGCGGCGUGCUUAACACAUGCAAGUCGAGCGGUAAGGCCCUUUGGGGUACACGAGCGGCGAACGGGUGAGUAACACGUGGGUGACCUGCCCCCUACUCUGGGAUAAGCCUGGGAAACUGGGUCUAAUACCGGAUAUGACCUGCGAUUGCAUGAUUGUGGGUGGAAAGCCAGUUACAUUUGUUUCUGGCGGUGGGGGAUGGGCCCGCGGCCUAUCAGCUUGUUGGUGGGGUGAUGGCCUACCAAGGCGACGACGGGUAGCCGGCCUGAGAGGGCGACCGGCCACACUGGGACUGAGACACGGCCCAGACUCCUACGGGAGGCAGCAGUGGGGAAUAUUGCGCAAUGGGCGGAAGCCUGACGCAGCGACGCCGCGUGGGGGAUGACGGCCUUCGGGUUGUAAACCUCUUUCGGCCCCGACGAAGCGUGAGUGACGGUAGGGGUAGAAGAAGCACCGGCCAACUACGUGCCAGCCGCCGCCGUAACAC
rnacentral:rRNA from 1 species